rnacentral:rRNA from 1 species
GUCGUGAGACAGUUCGGUCCCUAUCUGCCGUGGGUGUAGGAAACUUGAGAGGAGCUGUCCCUAGUACGAGAGGACCGGGAUGGACGCACCACUGGUGGAUCUGUUGUGGCGCCAGCCGCAGUGCAGAGUAGCUAUGUGCGGAACGGAUAACCGCUGAAAGCAUCUAAGCGGGAAGCCACCCUCAAAACAAGGUUUCCCUGAAGGACGGUGGGAGACUACCACAUGAUAGGCCGGAGGUGUAAGUGCAGCAAUGCAUUCAGCUGACCGGUACUAAUAGUCCGUUCGGCUUGAUUAU